CCGAGUGAGGGCCCUCUGGGUCCAACCUCCCACCCGUGUUUAUCGUACCUUGUUGCUUCGGCGAGCCCGCCUCACGGCCGCCGGGGGGCAUCUGCCCCCGGGCCUGCGCUCGCCGAAGACACACAAACGAACUCUUGUCUGAAGAUUGCAGUCUGAGUACUUGACUAAAUCAGUUA
rnacentral:misc_RNA from 1 species